AUUGAACGCUGGCGGCAGGCCUAACACAUGCAAGUCGAGCGCAGCGGCGGACGGGUGAGUAAUGCCUAGGAAUCUGCCUGGUAGUGGGGGAUAACGUCCGGAAACGGGCGCUAAUACCGCAUACUAUCAGAUGAGCCUAGGUCGGAUUAGCUGGUUGGGGGGGUAAAGGCCUACAAGGGAGACGAUCCGUAACUGGUCUGAGAGGAUGAUCAGUAACCAUGGAACUGAGACACGGUCCAGACUCAUACGGGAGGCAGCAUUGGGGAAUAUUGGACAAUGGGCGAAAGCCUGAUCCAGCCAUGCCGCGUGUGUGAAGAAGGUCUUCGGAUUGUAAAGCACUUGAAGUUGGGAGGCGUUACCAACAGAAUAAGCACCGGCUAACUUCGUGCCAGCCGCCGCGGUAAUUC
rnacentral:rRNA from 1 species